AACGAACGCUGGCGGCAUGCCUAAUACAUGCAAGUCGAACGAUAUCUUCGGAUCUAGUGGCGCACGGGUGCGUAACGCGUGGGAAUCUGCCCUUGGGUUCGGAAUAACUUCUGGAAACGGAAGCUAAUACCGGAUGAUGACGUAAGUCCAAAGAUUUAUCGCCCAAGGAUGACCCCGCGUAGGAUUAGCUAGUUGGUGAGGUAAAGGCUCACCAAGGCGACGAUCCUUAGCUGGUCUGAGAGGAUGAUCAGCCACACUGGGACUGAGACACGGCCCACACUCCUACGGGAGGCAGCAGUAGGGAAUAUUGGACAAUGGGCGAAAGCCUGAUCCAGCAAUGCCGCGUGAGUGAUGAAGGCCUUAGGGUUGUAAAGCUCUUUUAUCCGGGAUGAUAAUGACAGUACCGGGAGAAUAAGCUCCGGCUAACUCCGUGCCAGCAGCCGCGGUAAUACGGAGGGAGCUAGCGUUGUUCGGAAUUACUGGGCGUAAAGCGCACGUAGGCGGCUAUUCAAGUCAGAGGUGAAAGCCCGGGGCUCAACCCCCGGAACUGCCUUUGAAGCUAGAUAGCUUGAAUCCAGGAGA
rnacentral:rRNA from 1 species